AUACGGAGGAUCCGAGCGUUAUCCGGAUUUAUUGGGUUUAAAGGGAGCGUAGGCGGAUUAUUAAGUCAGUUGUGAAAGUUUGCGGCUCAACCGUAAAAUUGCAGUUGAUACUGGUAGUCUUGAGUGCAGCAGAGGUAGGCGGAAUUCGUGGUGUAGCGGUGAAAUGCUUAGAUAUCACGAAGAACUCCGAUCGCGAAGGCAGCUCACCGGGCCGGAACUGACACUGAUGCUCGAAAGUGCGGGUAUCAAACAGGAUUAGAUACCCUGGUAGUCCGCACAGUAAACGAUGAAUACUCGCUGUUUGCGAUACACGGUAAGCGGCCAAGCGAAAGCGUUAAGUAUUCCACCUGGGGAGUACGCCGGCAACGGUGAAACUCAAAUGAAUUGGCGGGG
rnacentral:rRNA from 1 species